rnacentral:rRNA from 1 species
AAUGACUCUCGGCAACGGAUAUCUCGGCUCUCGCAUCGAUGAAGAACGUAGCGAAAUGCGAUACCUGGUGUGAAUUGCAGAAUCCCGCGAACCAUCGAGUCUUUGAACGCAAGUUGCGCCCGAGGCCAUCCGGUCGAGGGCACGCCUGCCUGGGCGUCACGCCAU